CAGCCGCCGCGGUAAAACCAGCACCUCAAGUGGUCAGGAUGAUUAUUGGGCCUAAAGCAUCCGUAGCCGGCUCUGUAAGUUUUCGGUUAAAUCUGUACGCUCAACGUACAGGCUGCCGGGAAUACUGCAGAGCUAGGGAGUGGGAGAGGUAGACGGUACUCGAUAGGAAGGGGUAAAAUCCUUUGAUCUAUUGAUGACCACCUGUGGCGAAGGCGGUCUACCAGAACACGUCCGACGGUGAGGGAUGAAAGCUGGGGGAGCAAACCGGAUUAGAUACCCGGGUAGUCCCAGCUGUAAACUAUGCAAACUCAGUGAUGCAUUGGCUUGUGGCCAAUGCAGUGCUGCAGGGAAGCCGUUAAGUUUGCCGCCUGGGAAGUACGUACGCAAGUAUGAAACUUAAAGGAAUUGGCGGGGGAGCAC
rnacentral:rRNA from 2 species